CUGGACACUUUGCCAGAAAAUGAUGCGUAUUUCACUUGUCGAAGCGUCGCGGCUUUAUAACACUGCCACCCGCCUGGAAACCGGAGAGCUUUUCAUCAACAGCAUAUGCCGAGAAUGUCAACACUCAAAUCUGAACUUUACUUUUUACUUUUUUGAAAACUGUGUUUCGUUUUUUAUUAAAAUCUUCUGUCUCCAUUUUAAUGAUAGAGUGAAGUUCUAAUUUUUAAAUGAAAUAUUACCACCACUGCUUCUAUACACGACAAUUGAGGCACUGAGAACCUUAAGGCUCCAAAGCGCACUAUCGAAGUUAUGACAGAAAUAGAGUUUUGUGAAAAUCCAAUUUAUAGACAAACUAGCAGUCUCAUAGUUCUGAAUUGUUUUUAACAAUGUCAACACCCUAUACUUCCUAUGAAAAAAAGCUGCGCGUCAGUGAAAUGCACAACAGUAACAGACGCUUUGCACAGAAAAAUGAAUCAGCAUUACAAAGUCCAUCGAGCGAUUAAGGAAGUAAUAAGCAUUUUUCCAGCGACUACUCAUUCUACCACACCCUCGGAUAGGCGUAUGAAUCUCUCAGCGGAACAAAUGACGGAGGUGGCAGCAGUGGCUAGGAAGUAACUGCAACAUGGCGGACGUGCGUUUGAGCUUUGAAGCGCGGAAGCAGAUAAUUAAGUGGUACUGGAAGUUUGAGACUGUAGCUGCGGUUCGAAGACAGUGGAGAAGUGAGUAUGGUACAGAACCACCUUCAAGGAUAAGAAUUACAUGUCUACGAGACAAAUUCCAAAUCCAUGGAACAUGUGUGAUGUGCAUAAAGGUCGACCAGGGCGACCUCGUACAGCUACAAGUGAUGAUUUGCCGUUUUGGAACUGUUUCAGCCCUCGCCUCAAAAAUCUUCAAGGAAAGCGGCACGUGAGAGUAAUGUAGGUACUAGUAGUGUGCUAUGCAUUCUGAAGAAAGGCAAGUUUCAUGUGUACAUUCCAAGGCUGGUGCAACAGCUAAGUGACGACGAUCCAGAUCGAAGGUUAGAAUUUUGUGAAUGGGUUCAGUAGAUAGUGAGACGUGAACCGAGAUUUAUGGGUAGCAUAAUUUGGUCGGAUGAAGCCCAGUUCAAACUCAAUGAAACUGUCAAUAGGCACAACUGUGUGUACUGGGCUGAAGAUAAUCCUAACAUUACUGUUGAAAAGGCUGUGAAUUUGCCCAACAUAAAUGUGUGGUGUGGUUUGUCUCCAAGGGGACUCAUUGGGCCUUUCCAUUUUGAAUGUACUGUUACUGGAGAAACUUACCUAACAAAGCUUUCUGACUCCAUAUUAUCUGUCAUUCGUGCAUUAUACGGUAAUGAUGAGUUUUAUUUCCAACAAGAUGGCGCCCCGUGGCACUAUCAUAGGGACGUACGAGCAUACCUGGAUCACAGUGUGCCAGGCCAGUGGAUGGGACGCAGGGAACCAAUCGAGUUUCCUGCACGCUCUCCAGACCUCACGCCAAAGGAUUUCUUCUUAUGGGGCACAGCAAAAUAUGAGGUGUACAAACGUAAACCACGUAACCUGGACGCACUUUGGAAUGAGAUUCAGGCGGUGUGCGCAGAAAUCUCAUUCGACACUUUGGUAUGUUGUACAGAAUCAGUGGUGGUGACUUGUACUCAGAAAUGUAUUUAUGCUGAAGGCCACCAGUUUGAACAUUAAUCACAUUUGCAAAGUACAUUUAUUUUUCCAAUUGGACUUUAAGCUUCCCAUUUCCAGAAAUUUAACGUUGUAGAACGGGAAAUAAAUUAUCUAUGACGCUUCAAAGUGUGUAUACAUUUUUUGACACACCCUGUAUGUAUGACAUAUACAGAUAUAAUUAAAUAAAACUUCUUGGGACGCAA